rnacentral:rRNA from 1 species
UACGGAGGGUGCAAACGUUGCUCGGAAUCAUUGGGCGUAAAGCGCACGUAGGCGGACUGUUAAGUCGGAUGUGAAAUCCCUCAGCUUAACUGAGGAAGUGCACUCGAAACUGGCAGUCUUGAAUAUGGAAGAGGGUCGCGGAAUUCCCGGUGUAGAGGUGAAAUUCGUAGAUAUUGGGAAGAACACCAGUGGCGAAGGCGGCUAACUGGUCCAGAUCUGACGCUGAGGUGCGAAAGCGUGGGGAGCAAACAGG